GACGAACGCUGGCGGCGUGCCUAAUACAUGCAAGUAGAACGCUGAAGGAGGAGCUUGCUCCUCUGGAUGAGUUGCGAACGGGUGAGUAACGCGUAGGUAACCUGUCUGUCAGCGGGGGAGAACUAUUGGAAACGAUAGCUAAUACCGCAUAACAGUAGAUGUUGCAUGACAUUCGCUCAAAAGGUGCAAUUGCAUCACUACUAGAUGGACCUGCGUUGUAUUAGCUAGUUGGUGGGGUAACGGCUCAACAAGGCGACGAUACAUAGACGACCGGAGAGGGUGCUCGGCCAACCUGGGAUGGGAGCACGGCCCAGCACCCUGCGGGAGGGAGCCGGAGGGGAUCUUCGGGAAUGGAAGGAAGUCUGACCGAGGAACGCCGGGUGAGGGAAGGAUGUUGUCGGGUCGUAAAGAUCUGUUGUGAGGGAAGGACGAGUGUGGGAGUGGAAAGUGCACACUGUGACGGUACCUGACCAGAAAGCGACGGCUAACUACGUG
rnacentral:rRNA from 1 species